GGCUGGGAUUUGUAGUCCUCACUGGCUUCCUGGCCUACCCCUCUCCGGAAGAAAAUGGCUGCCUCAAGUGCUUGGACCACAUUUCCCGGAGUGCCCCGGGCUCCUGUUUUCCGCCCACUUUCUUCCGUACCCCGCUGCGCUCCAAGCACGGUGACCUUUGAAAGUUAACAGGGGUGCCAUGGGCUGAGUAAGAUAAAUGGAACUGCUGUU
rnacentral:lncRNA from 1 species